GCCGGGCUCGGUGGUGCAUGCCUAUAGUCUCAGCUAUUUGGGAGGCUGAGGCUGGAGGAGCUCUUGGGUCCAGGAGUUCUGAGCUGUAGUGCGCUAUGACGAUCGGGUGUCCGCACUAAGUUUGGCAUCAAUAUGGUGACCUCCCGGGAUCAGGUGACCACCAGGUUGCCUAAGGAGGGGUGAACCAGCCCAGGUUGGAAACGGAGCAGGUCAAAACUCCCGUGCUGAUCAGUAGUGGGAUCGUGCCUGUGAAUAGCCACUGCACUCCAGCCUGGGCAACAUAGCGAGACCCUACCUCU
rnacentral:SRP_RNA from 1 species